UUUUACUCUAUAAGAAAGUGAGGAAUGUAUUACUCGGGACUCUAAAAAUGUGCUUGUUUCGUUCUCUCACAACAGAGAGUAAAUGAAAAAUCACUAUCCACUGACUGCAAAAAACUUUAUUCCAUUUGAUUUUCAUAGGUGAUCAUCAUAUCUACUGAACCCGAAUAUAUAGUACUGCAAAGCACCUACUUACUCCACAUCUCUGUAGCUGCCACAUGUACUGGGGUUUUAGUAUGAAGAAAGGAUACUUAAAAUAGCAGACGUGGAGCAGCAGAAGUCCAUGGAACCUGAACAUUAAAACUACAUUCAUUUCCCAUGGAAUCCUGCAACUAGUACAUAAAGAGAUUUUUGCACUCUGGAU
rnacentral:lncRNA from 1 species